UAAUUUGUCAUUCCAGCCUUUAUUUUUGUAAAACUGUUGAACGUUUUAUUGCAUUUUUUUUUUUAUCAAUUUCUCAGUUGGUUGUGGGAAAUAAAAACACAAAUCAGGUUUUCUAUGAUAUAAAGAUUUUAGAUAUCUGGAUGGGAAAGUUUGUCACUUAUGGAGGAGGAAAUGAAGUUUUUAUUCUGGUUUUAGGCUCAGGACAGAAAUCCAGACUUGAUGUUCAUUUAUUUCAGUCUUUAUCAGGAAAAUAAUGCAUUAAAAUUUCAUCAGAAGCCUGAAACACCCCAGGAUUCUGUGUAUUGUAUUGUGGGCUUUAUGGCCCUUAUUGUUGUUCCAUCAGGUCUCCCUAGCAAGAAAGCAACACCAGAAGGAGGUGGAGAACAUCGCUCAGCUGGAGCAGGAGAAGUUUAACCUGACAGAGCAGGUGGAGCAUCUAAGAGACACGGUGAAGGGCAUGGGAUACGUAAUCCUUGACCUGAACAUGGAGUUUGCUAAUCUAAUGAAAGCACAUGAGCGAGAGCAGGACGCUCCCAGGAUCCUCCAAGUGAAGAACGACAAGCUGAAGAAGACCCUGAAUCAUGAGGAGGAGAUACUGAAGGUCUCCUUGGCUGAAGCUGAGGAGCAACACCAGAGGGAUGAGGAGACCAUUGAUUAAAAUUCUAUUUUCAAGUUGCAAGAUUCAAUCUGCAGCUCAUUGCAGAUGUGAAGGUUAAGCUCUUGAGUGUGAACCUCUUUUUCUCCAGGAUUGUGUACGAGACUGGGAGGACCAACUGAAGGUAAAUUUUCUUCUCAAGAAGCUAGGACUGCUUUUGUGAACUGAUAAAUAACUUGCAGGAAGACAAUCAGAAAUCCAUCAGCUUAGAUCCUCCGUAAGGGAGUCAGUUUUUAAAUGAGUCUGAAUGUGUGUGUAGAAGUAAAUGAAUUCAUUGAGCCUUAAUUGUUGUCUUUUGAGGUCUCUGUGGCUAAAGGUGAGAAGAAACACCGUAAGGCUAGGAAGACUAUCAGCAACUGUAUAGGAUAUUUUUAAAAGUUUCUUGUCAGUAGCUGUGAUUUCCCUCAUCUCAUUUUGGGAGUGUGUCAACUCAAAAAAUGCCCUGGGCUUGUCACGGUAUUGGGGAUGAGUUGUCUUAUUAGUUUGGACGGCCUCAUGCAUUCGUUAGCUAGGACUUUGGCGCAGAUAAUGCACUGUGGCUGGGGCAGGGAGAAAAUGAAAUAAAACCAUAG